CCUACGGGUGGCAGCAGUGGGGAAUAUUGCGCAAUGGGCGAAAGCCUGACGCAGCGACGCCUCGUGAGGGAUGAAGGUCUUCGGAUCGUAAACCUCUGUCAAGAGGGAAGAAACCCUUGGGUUCGAAUAGGGCCCUUGGCUGACGGUACCUCAAAAGGAAGCACCGGCUAACUCCGUGCCAGCAGCCGCGGUAAUACGGAGGGUGCAAGCGUUAAUCGGAAUCACGUAGCGUAAAUGGCUCGUCAGCCGUGAAAGCCCACGGCUCAACCGUGGAACUGCGUUUGAUACUGCCAGACUUGAGUGUCGGAGAGGGUGGCGGAAUUCCGGGUGUAGGAGUGAAAUCCGUAGAGAUCCGGAGGAACACCAGUGGCGAAGGCGGCCACCUGGACGACAACUGACGCUGAGGAGCGAAAGCGUGGGGAGCAAACAGGAUUAGAUACCCUAGUAGUC
rnacentral:rRNA from 1 species